rnacentral:rRNA from 1 species
UACGUAGGGGGCAAGCGUUGUCCGGAUUUAUUGGGCGUAAAGAGCGUGUAGGCGGCCAUACAGGUCAGCUGUGAAAACUCGAGGCUCAACCUCGAGACGUCGGUUGAAACCGUAUGGCUAGAGUCCGGAAGAGGAGAGUGGAAUUCCCGGUGUAGCGGUGAAAUGCGCAGAUAUCGGGAAGAACACCGGUGGCGAAGGCGACUACCUGGGCUGCAACUGACGCUGAGGCGCGAAGGCUAGGGUAGCAAACAGG